AAUCUUUCGACGCUCAAUAUUAAUCUUUUUAUCGUUGCAAAAUCUUCUAUUUUUUGUACUGUAAUAGUAGAACGUUGAAAGUUCACAAAACAACUCUGAAUAUGCAUGAAAAUAGCUGCUAACUUAUAAAAAAUUGCAUUUCAAAUUGACUUCUUGUGGUGGUAAUUAUUUUAGUAUUAAAAACGUUGAUUUCUUUUAUUUAUCUGAUAAUAAUAGAAGACGACUGUGAAUUAUAAACGUUAUUUAGUGUUUGAACCAUCAUAUAUAUUAAAGGUAAGUCUCAGUUGUUAUUGAUUUUAAUGUUUUUGAUAAAAUAAGAAUACAUGUAAAAAUCUGUUGUUUUUGGGGAUAUUGGGGACGUGUCAGGUACAAAUAACAACGAGAAAGGGGUCAAUUGGGAUGAAAAUAAGUAAAAUAGAAACGAACUAAGUAUAAAUAGGUACAGGUUUGUAGGGUUAUCUAUGUAGUUAAAACAAUAUUUUUUUAAUUUGUUGGUAAGCAUCUGGUUUAUUCAUGAUGUUUUUGUCUAGAACUUUUAUUCAAAAUUAUCAAUGCAGUGUUAUUUUAUUGUUUGGCAAAUAUUUAUAUUAUCAGUUACAUGUUGUUUUCCAUUUUUCGAUAUGCCUCGCGGUUACGUAUCAAAGAGUGCAAAUCCUUGAGAUAUGAUCUCUUAAUAUUAAAAACAGUAAUAGAAGCUAUGAAAUUAGGAAUAAGUCUUUAGUUGAAAUACCUAAGCAAUUUACCAUAAGUAACUCGGUUUUGCACAGACAUGUAACAAGAAGGACGAAAUCUCAAGGUGGACAUGUAUAAAAAUAUCAGCCCCUAAGUACUGUACAGCCGGACCUCGGUUCGUAAACUGUGGAAAACAUCUGUCAAGGCUUUAAUGAGCAAGAAUUCCACAUGACCACGACUGCUCUGCCAAGAGCAACCGAUUAUGAUGAUGAAGUAAUACUGAAUAUUCGGCAAGCUGCGAGGCCGAACCGCCGGAUAUUCGGCCCUUUCGGAAAUACUCGUGUGCGUUCGGGUGUUGUCGCACGUGAGUGGAGAUCGCGACGACGCGGUACGACGACGAUUUGGUAUUCAUUCACCAUAAUUUUCCACUUGUUAUUUCACUUUUAACGUGCGAUUAUAAAAAUCAAACUUGUCCAUAA